rnacentral:rRNA from 1 species
GAAAUACCACCCUUGUAUGUUUGAUGUUCUAACUUAGACCCGUUAUCCGGGUUGAGGACAGUGCCUGGUGGGUAGUUUGACUGGGGCGGUCUCCUCCCAAAGAGUAACGGAGGAGCACGAAGGUGGGCUAAUCACGGUUGGACAUCGUGAGGUUAGUGCAAUGGCAUAAGCCCGCUUAACUGCGAGAAUGACGGUUCGAGCAGGUGCGAAAGCAGGUCAUAGUGAUCCGGUGGUUCUGUAUGGAAGGGCCAUCGCUCAACGGAUAAAAGGUACUCCGGGGAUAACAGGCUGAUACCGCCCAAGAGUUCAUAUCGACGGCGGUGUUUGGCACCUCGAUGUCGGCUCAUCACAUCCUGGGGCUGAAGUCGGUCCCAAGGGUAUGGCUGUUCGCCAUUUAAAGUGGUACGCGAGCUGGGUUUAGAACGUCGUGAGACAGUUCGGUCCCUAUCUGCCGUGGGCGUUGGAAGAUUGAAGGGGGCUGCUCCUAGUACGAGAGGACCGGAGUGGACGAACCUCUGGUGUUCGGGUUGUGUCGCCAGACGCAUUGCCCGGUAGCUAAGUUCGGAAUUGAUAAGCGCUGAAAGCAUCUAAGCGCGAAGCGAGCCCUGAGAUGAGUCUUCCCUGAUACUUUAAGUAUCCUAAAGGGUUGUUCGAGACUAGAACGUUGAUAGGCAGGGUGUGUAAGCGUUGUGAGGCGUUGAGCUAACCUGUACUAAUUGCCCGUGAGGCUUAACCAUACAACACCCA